rnacentral:sRNA from 2 species
UUUUAGCACCGAUAGAAGCGGCAUCCUUUUUCUUGCGAGGGGAAAAGCGAAGGAAGAAAAAGAUACAGCGGAUAGCGGGAAAUAGC